rnacentral:rRNA from 1 species
UACGGGGGGGGCAAGCGUUGUUCGGAAUUACUGGGCGUAAAGGGCGCGUAGGCGGCCAUCUAAGUCAGACGUGAAAUCCCUCGGCUCAACCGAGGAACUGCGUCUGAUACUGGAAGGCUUGAAUCCGGGAGAGGGAUGUGGAAUUCCAGGUGUAGCGGUGAAAUGCGUAGAUAUCUGGAGGAACACCGGUGGCGAAGGCGGCAUCCUGGACCAACACUGACGCUGAGGAGCGAAAGCGUGGGGAGCGAACAGG